rnacentral:rRNA from 1 species
UCGAGCUGGUCCAUAUAAAGGCAGUUCGAGCGGAAAGACGAAGGAGCUUGCUCCUCUGACGUUAGCGGCGGACGGGUGAGUAACACGUGGAUAACCUACCUAUAAGACUGGGAUAACUUCGGGAAACCGGAGCUAAUACCGGAUAAUAUAUUGAACCGCAUGGUUCAAUAGUGAAAGACGGUUUUGCUGUCACUUAUAGAUGGAUCCGCGCCGCAUUAGCUAGUUGGUAAGGUAACGGCUUACCAAGGCAACGAUGCGUAGCCGACCUGAGAGGGUGAUCGGCCACACUGGAACUGAGACACGGUCCAGACUCCUACGGGAGGCAGCAGUAGGGAAUCUUCCGCAAUGGGCGAAAGCCUGACGGAGCAACGCCGCGUGAGUGAUGAAGGUCUUCGGAUCGUAAAACUCUGUUAUUAGGGAAGAACAAAUGUGUAAGUAACUAUGCACGUCUUGACGGUACCUAAUCAGAAAGCCACGGCUAACUACGUGCCAGCAGCCGCGGUAAUACGUAGGUGGCAAGCGUUAUCCGGAAUUAUUGGGCGUAAAGCGCGCGUAGGCGGUUUUUUAAGUCUGAUGUGAAAGCCCACGGCUCAACCGUGGAGGGUCAUUGGAAACUGGAAAACUUGAGUGCAGAAGAGGAAAGUGGAAUUCCAUGUGUAGCGGUGAAAUGCGCAGAGAUAUGGAGGACACCAGUGGCGAAAGCGACUUUCUGGUCUGUAACUGACGCUGAUGUGCGAAAGCGUGGGGAUCAAACAGGAUUAGAUACUGCUGGUGUUGUUCCCAU